rnacentral:rRNA from 1 species
CUGAUGUUAGCGGCGGACGGGUGAGUAACACGUGGGUAACCUACCUAUAAGACUGGGAUAACUCCGGGAAACCGGGGCUAAUACCGGAUAAUAUUUUGAACCGCAUGGUUCAAUAGUGAAAGACGGUCUCGGCUGUCACUUAUAGAUGGACCCGCGCCGUAUUAGCUAGUUGGUAAGGUAACGGCUUACCAAGGCGACGAUACGUAGCCGACCUGAGAGGGUGAUCGGCCACACUGGAACUGAGACACGGUCCAGACUCCUACGGGAGGCAGCAGCG